GAAUGAAUUCUUCGUGAAAGGUGCUGGAUGGACAACUCCUGUUUAUCUUCACAAGUCCUGCAGGAACAGCUGUAGAUUCCCCUGCCUUGCUGCUUCUCCUAGGGUGGUCCCUUGUGUGUGUCUCACACGCAAGGAGCUCUGUUUGAUCGCUACCUAUCUUUUCUGUUAAGAAUGUCCAAGGAGCAGCUACAUUCCUGUGACCGGCCAAAACCCUUUCAAUAUAUACAACACUAAACUGAAUUACACCAAAUGUGACCAUCUUAACAUUGGUUAGACAGGUCAACCAUAGCUGAAGCCAGAAAACUCCUUUUGGAAGAGAAGGGCAG